rnacentral:rRNA from 1 species
ACGUAGGAGGCGAGCGUUAUCCGGAUUUGCUGGGUGUAAAGCGCGUGCAGGCGGUUCUGCAAGUGGGACGCGAAAGCGCCCGGCUCAACCGGGCGAGGACGUACCGAACUGCGGGACUAGAGGCAGGCAGAGGCGUGUGGAAUUCCGGGUGUAGUGGUGAAAUGCGUAGAGAUCCGGAGGAACCCCAGUGGCGAAGGCGACCUGCUCGGCCUUGCCUGACGCUCAGACGCGAAAGCAUGGGGAGCGAACGG